rnacentral:rRNA from 1 species
GAACGCGAAAGUUUCCUUCGGGGAACAAGUAGAGUGGCGCACGGGUGAGUAACACGUAGGUAAUCUACCUUUGGAUGGGGAAUAACAACCGGAAACGGUUGCUAAUACCGCAUAAUGCAGCGGCACCUAAUGGUGACAGUUGUUAAAGCGGGGGAUCGAAAGACCUCGCGUCUAAAGAGGAGCCUGCGGCGGAUUAGCUAGUUGGUAAGGUAAUGGCUUACCAAGGCGAUGAUCCGUAGCCGGCCUGAGAGGGCGGUCGGCCACACUGACACUGACAUACGGGUCAGACUCCUACGGGAGGCAGCAGUCGGGAAUUUUGGGCAAUGGGCGAAAGCCUGACCCAGCAACGCCGCGUGAAGGAUGAAAUCCCUCGGGAUGUAAACUUCGCAAGAACAGGAAGAAUAAGUAGGGGAUAAUACCCCCUAUGAUGACGGUACUGUUUGUAAGCUCCGGCUAACUCCGUGCCAGCAGCCGCGGUAAUACGGGGGGAGCAAGCGUUGUUCGGAUUUACUGGGCGUAAAGGGCGCGUAGGCGGCGCCGCAAGUCGGUUGUGAAAUCUCCGGGCUUAACCCGGAAAGGUCAACCGAUACUGCGGGGCUAGAGUGCAGAAGGGGCAACUGGAAUUCUCGGUGUAGCGGUGAAAUGCGUAGAUAUCGAGAGGAACACCUGCGGCGAAGGCGGGUUGCUGGGCUGACACUGACGCUGAAGCGCGAAAGCUAGGGGAGCGAACGGGAUUAGAUACCCCGGUAGUCCUAGCCUUAAACGAUGAAUGCUUGGUGUCUGGGGUUUUAUAGUCCCCCGGGUGCCGUCGCUAACGCUUUAAGCAUUCCGCCU